rnacentral:rRNA from 1 species
GACGAACGCUGGCGGCGUGCUUAACACAUGCAAGUCGAACGGAAAGGCCCUGCUUUUGUGGGGUGCUCGAGUGGCGAACGGGUGAGUAACACGUGAGUAACCUGCCCUUGACUUUGGGAUAACUUCAGGAAACUGGGGCUAAUACCGGAUAGGAGCUCCUGCUGCAUGGUGGGGGUUGGAAAGUUUCGGCGGUUGGGGAUGGACUCGCGGCUUAUCAGCUUGUUGGUGGGGUAGUGGCUUACCAAGGCUUUGACGGGUAGCCGGCCUGAGAGGGUGACCGGCCACAUUGGGACUGAGAUACGGCCCAGACUCCUACGGGAGGCAGCAGUGGGGAAUAUUGCACAAUGGGCGGAAGCCUGAUGCAGCAACGCCGCGUGCGGGAUGACGGCCUGCGGGUUGUAAACCGCUUUCGCCUGUGACAAAGCGUGAGUGACGGUAAUGGGUAAAGAAGCACCGGCUAACUACGUG